rnacentral:misc_RNA from 1 species
UUACCUCAAAGCAAAUUGUAGGUUAAUUCCUCCUUUUGCAAUUGGAUGUUGAAGGUUUGCUGGUGUCCUUGCAUCAAGCUCCUUUUAAAUGCAUUAGCAGGACUUUGCAUGACCAGCUCCAGUUUGAUACGAUAGUUAUCUGAGCUGCUGCUGUGAAAGCACCUAAAGUCAUUUGCUUCUCGAGCAGUCCGUGGACUUGGUCUUUGUGGACAAACAUACUUUGA